rnacentral:pre_miRNA from 9 species
UCUCGAUAGCGUAAAAGUUAACUCAAAUUUCUAUGAAGUUGGAACGUUUGCCUACGUUUGCCGCUAGGGGCGCUGUUCCAACUGUAUACAAAUUACAGUUAACUUUUACGCUAUCGA